UACAGAGGUGGCAAGCGUUGUUCGGAAUUACUGGGCGUAAAGGGCUCGUAGGCGGCCAACUAAGUCAUACGUGAAAUCCCUCGGCUUAACCGGGGAACUGCGUCUGAUACUGGAUGGCUUGAGUUCGGGAGAGGGAUGCGGAAUUCCAGGUGUAGCGGUGAAAUGCGUAGAUAUCAGGAGGAACACCGGUGGCGAAGGCGGGUCUCUGGGCAGUAACUGACGCUGAGGAGCGAAAGCGUGGGGAGCGAACAGG
rnacentral:rRNA from 1 species